CCGAGGAUCUUCAGGCGUGCGAGUGGGGAGGACGGGAGAACUCCGGAAGACACUGGUAGAGUUACUGGAGAAGGGACUGACGUACUGAGACCUCAGCUGGUACUGCUGCUGCAGCGUCAUGGUGUUCCACAAGAGAUGACGUUACCGAUGCUCAGUGGAGCAGAGCCUCUCAGCUGUUUUUCAAAGAGUGGUGACAGCUGUGUGCCGAGCCAGCCACAUUCUCCCUCUGUGACUAAGGACAUAUAUUUGCAAUACAGCAGCCCAGAGUUAGGGUCACAGCCAAUGGGCAAGAACUCAUGGUCACUGCAACCAAAACUCCGCAGAUUUGACAAGUUCAGACCUACUGGAUGAGCCUAGACUAUCUGGAGAAUUAAGAGAAUUACAAAGGAAGCUGAAAGGACACUGGAGGGGACCCCCAGAGAGUCUACCUUCAAAAAUGCAGCCAUGAAUUCCACCAGGCACAACUGGGAAGGGAGGAAACAAGCAAGCCCGGAUCGCAGAGGAGAAACGCGUACCCAAACGUAGCUGUGAAAGGACCCCGGACUUAGAAAGAGGGGAGAUGUAGGUCUACGGCGAGCCAACUAACGCCCUCUCUCAACUCAGCCCACCCGGAGAUUGCCCCCUAAAGUCUUUUGAUUUCCCUCCUCCGGGCGCAUGCUCCUGCUGCCACGCACCCUUCCCACUGUCUGCAUUUACCUGCUUUGGAGAGCUGCCCCUGCAGCCCUGAGCCAGGCUGCGGCUCGGAGGCCCAGCGGAGGGCGGCAGCGGCUGCAGCCAAUUCCGCUGGACGGGGCGGCGGCGGCUGCUGCUGCGGAGCCUGGGGCUGUUGUGGCUGCUGCGGCUGCGGAGGAGGCUGCUGUUGCUGGGGAGGCGCGCCGCUGUCACCGGGCGGCUGGGGUGGGGGGCCCGGCAGGGCCCGCAGCGAGUCCGGGAUAAGGCUCUCUAGGCUCUCGUUGGCCUGCUGCCGGCGGAGUGCCACCUGCGCUGCCAUGACCCGCUGCCGCUCGAUGAUGAGAAUGCACUUCUCGCAGGUGCAGUCCUUGAAGCGGCAGUAGCGCUUGUGGCCCUUGAGCCAGGACAGCACGCCGUGGUUGCGGCAGCGGGCGCACUUGGGCGUGCGCUGCAGGGGCGCCCGCGGCGGCUGCGACACCGGGCCGCCCAUGUACAGGUAUGGGGAGCCGUAGCCGUUCAUGCCCCUGGGCUCCCGCGGGAGCUGACAGCCUGGGGGUGGUGGGGGCGGUGCAAGGGACACAGCAAGACGGCCGAACAGAAGGAGCCCUAAGAGGCAGUUUCUGGCGCCCCACGGACCUUCUGCGCCCCCCGCGCCCGGGGUGGACGCUCGCCCCCUCGCCUCUUCCCUAGUCCUCUUUAGGAUCACAGCACCGCCGCUUCUGCUUCUCUCAGUCCACAAGCUGGGAUCGACCCGAAGGUUCUCCGCGGGUCUGCGAUCUCUGGGACGCCCGGUCCCCCGCUUCCACGAGGAGGAACCGCGGCAGCUGCUUGGAGAGGAUGAAAGAAAUGAAUCUCAGAAACCCUACUAGGCAAAGGCAAAGCACCGAUUAGCGGGCCCAUUACUCUCGUUAUUUCAAAAGGAAGAACUCGCUGAAGUAAAUUCCCCUCCCUACCCCAC